AUAAUUAACAGACUGACUGGCCAGUUGUUGCCUUCUUUGUACUAUUUCAUAGAUGAUGAUUGCCUGCAUUUAUGAUAAGAUAAACACAUAUUUUUGGGAUUCCAACUCUUUUUACCUUGUAAGUUGGUUCAUUCUUUAAGUUGCAAGUUGUCUUCUUAAAUUUAAAUUGAGUCUUAGUACAUAUAUAGCUGUAUCAAUUUUCAUUUCAGAUAAUCUAUUCUAGCAGUGGACCUCAUACAUUGUAUUCCCUCAGUAUUCCUCAUAAUUUUGAGAGAGGGACCCAAAUCAUAUCCCUGCCUUACUUAUCUAUCUUAAUAUAUUUGAAGAAGAAUGUAGUCAUUUUAAUAUGAGAGUGUCCCUCUUUUCCUUUCCAAUGUGAAUCUUCUUAGCCAUUCCAACUUUUUGAAAGAUAAAAGAAAGUACAAAAUUGAUGAUAUCUCAGAUCUAGCUUGUGAUUACUUGUGGUGAAGAUGACAAGUAUGAACGUAUCAUUUCUAGCUUCACAUAGUGAGGAAACGCGAUGUGGAAGCUUGUGUUAACAGGCUCUCUGAUAUAUGAUAGUACCUGAACAGAAAAACCAUGUGCAUAACAAACUUAAUUGCAUUUAAUAUAUUUUGGAAGAAUGCUAACUGUAAUUAUUUAGGCGAUAACUACACAUUAAUAAUCUCCUUGUUGGAUAACAUUGAAACCUGUAUUAGGAAGGAAAAAUCCAAUCUCUUUUCUCUCAUCUCUUACUUCACACAAUAAACCAAGAGUUGAGUUACAUUCAGCGGUUUAUUAGGCCUUUUGUUUUUCUGGAUGAGUUGCAUUUAUUUACUGGGACCUUUUAUUCCUUAGUAAUGACUUCUAGACAUCUUCCAUCUUUUUGUCCUUUGCAGCCACGAAUUUUAAUGGCAAUG
rnacentral:misc_RNA from 1 species